rnacentral:rRNA from 1 species
AUUGAACGCUGGCGGCAUGCUUUACACAUGCAAGUCGAACGGCAGCACGGGGCAACCUGGUGGCGAGUGGCGAACGGGUGAGUAAUAUAUCGGAACGUGCCCAAUCGUGGGGGAUAACGUAGCGAAAGUUACGCUAAUACCGCAUACGAUCUACGGAUGAAAGCGGGGGAUCGCAAGACCUCGCGCGAAUGGAGCGGCCGAUAUCAAAUUAGGUAGUUGGUGGGGUAAAGGCUCACCAAGCCAACGAUCUGUAGCUGGUCUGAGAGGACGACCAGCCACACUGGAACUGAGACACGGUCCAGACUCCUACGGGAGGCAGCAGUGGGGAAUUUUGGACAAUGGGCGCAAGCCUGAUCCAGCCAUUCCGCGUGCAGGAUGAAGGCCUUCGGGUUGUAAACUGCUUUUGUACGGUAACGAAACGGUACUGCCCUAAUACGGCAGGCUAAUGACGGUACCGUAAGAACAAGACACCGGCUAACUACGUGCCAGCAGCCGCGGUAAACGAA